UACGAAGGGAGCUAGCGUUGUUCGGAAUUACUGGGCGUAAAGCGCGCGUAGGUGGCCUGCCAAGUCAGGGGUGAAAUCCCAGAGCUUAACUCUGGAAUUGCCUUUGAAACUGGUAGGCUUGAGUAUCGGAGGGGAUGGUGGAAUUUCUAAUGUAGCGGUGAAAUGCGUAGAUAUUAGAAGGAACACCGGUGGCGAAGGCGACCAUCUGGACGAUAACUGACACUGAGGCGCGAAAGCGUGGGGAUCAAACAGG
rnacentral:rRNA from 1 species